GCCCGCUACAGAAACUCAAAGGAAGUUGACGGGGCCGGCACAAGCGGAGGAGCAUGUGGUUUAAUUCGAUGAUACGCGAGGAACCUUACCUGGGCUCGAACGUAAGAUGACUGUAGGUGAAAGCUUACAUCUCUUCGGAGCAUUUUACGAGGUGCUGCAUGGUUGUCGUCAGCUCGUGCCGUGAGGUGUCGGGUUAAGUCCCAUAACGAGCGCAACCCCUACCUUUAGUUGCCAUCAGGUUAAGCUGGGGACUCUAAAGGAACUGCCUACGCAAGUAGUGAGGAAGCGGGGAUGACGUCAAAUCAGCACGGCCCUUACGUCCAGGGCUACACACGUGCUACAAUGGCCGAUACAGAGGGCAGCUACCUGGUGACAGGAUGCAAAUCUCCAAAGUCGGUCUCAGUUCGGAUCGGAGUCUGCAACCCGACUCCGUGAAGUUGGAUUCGCUAGUAAUCGCGCAUCAGCCAUGGCGCGGUGAAUACGUUCCCGGGCCUU
rnacentral:rRNA from 1 species